rnacentral:miRNA from 1 species
AACGAUCUCUACAUUGUAGGC